rnacentral:rRNA from 1 species
CUCUUUAAUUUCUUAUUUAAAGUAAAGCCUGCCCACUGCAUUUGUAAAGGGCCGCGGUAUUUUGACCGUGCUAAGGUAGCAUAAUCAUUAGUCUUUUAAUUGAGGAAUAGUAUGAAGGGUUUAACCAGUAAACAAUAUUUUUUACCUUAGUUUUGAAUUUAAGUUUUGAAUUAAAAUGUUCAAGUAGUGUAAGAAGACGAUAAGACCCUUUAGAUCUUUAUCUUAUAGUAGUAUAAAAAUCUUGGGGGAAGAUUUUUAUACUACUAUAAGAUUUUGUUGGGGCAACAAAAGAAUAUAUUAAAUUUCUUUAACAAUUUAUUUUAUAACUUAGUUAAUCUUAGCUUAAAAAUUAAAAAAGUUACCUAAGGGAUAACAGCGUUAUUACUUUUAAGAGUUCUUAUCGAUAAAGUUUUUUGCGACCUCGAUGUUGAAUUAAGAAGUCUUUUGGGAGCAGUUUUUUAUUAGAGAUAGUCUGUUCGACAAUUAAAUUCUUACA